GGCAAGAUGGCCGAGUGGUUAAGGCGGGAGUCUUAAGUUGUUAAGUCAUCUCCUGACGUGAGUCGCACGGGUUCGAACCCCGUUCUUGCCA